AUGAAUUAUUUUUAACGGCUGAGUAAUAGUCCAUGGUGUAUAUGUACCACAGCUUCCUUAUCCAUUCAUCUGCUGAUGGGCAUCUAGGUUGCUUCCAUGUCCUGGCUAUUAUAAACAGUGCUGCGAUGAACAUUGGGGUGCACAUGUCUCUUUCAGCUCUGGUUUCCUCGGUGUGUAUGCCCAGAAGUGGUGUUGCUGGGUUAUAUGGCAGUUCUAUUUCCAGUUUUUUUAAGAAAUCUCCACGCUGUUUUCCAUAGUGGCUGUACUAGUUUGCAUUCCCACCAACAGUGUAAGAGGGUUCCCUUUUCUCCACACAAAGAGGGUGUUUUUAAUUUGAGAGUACCAUGCUUCUUUGGGAUGGCCCACCCCUUGCUAAGAAUCCACUAGAGCCAAACAAGCAUUUCUUCCGCCCUUAGGCAAAGGAUGACAAACUGAGGGCAUUUACCUUAAAAUACAAUAGAUGUUAACUAAGGAAUUUGCAAUUGUUCCCUGUCUUUCCUAGUCUCACAAGAUUAACCCAGAAAAUUUACUGUUAAAGACAAGUGUUAAAGACAAUUUCAAACAUAUUCCUUUAUUAUGUAAAACAUAGAUUUGAGUCACAGGUGUUAAAAAGCCACCAACAAAUCAAUUCCAUUCUGUUCUCUUGACACGUACGUAUUAGUCAUCUGCUUUGGCAUCUUCUAGCACUGAGUUGCCAUCCCUGGGGCACAUUUGGGUAGGUGAGCAUUCAGGUGGCAACUGCAGAAGUCAUGAACUUUGAGGCUAGUUUGCAGAAGUUAAUAAAGAUUAUGUGAAUAUAAAGUUAGUGCAGAUUGGCCGUCGUUCGAGGACUGACCCAAGGCAGAAGUCAGCACACAGGCUUUGACCGCUGGGGAUCCAGUCUUCUCAGGUGGGUCUGCACCCAGGGGCCUGGCUGCUGUAGGAAGCUGCCCUGGCAGACCUGCUGGUAACUUUCAUGCUGUGGCUCCUGGAAGACCUUCUGGGUAGAAUCAGGUUCCAGGAAGGGCCUUCAUGAAAAUGUUUAUUUAAUGACAGAGAUUUAAAAAGUAAAGAAGACUGUAAGCUUGAGGAAAUAUCACGGCUGCUCAGAAUCCCCCAGUGGUUUCUAGUUGCUCAGGGUAAAUGGCUAAGCCCUCUGAGUAGUCACCCAGGCCACGUCAGCUGCUCCUGUGUUAGCUCUAUCUCUCUGGACUUGAUUCCCAGCCUGCUCUGCUCUAGCCACUGGCCUGCUUGAUAUUCUAAGACUCUGCCACUCUUUCCUGCCUCAGGGCCUUUGUAUUUGUUGUUCCCUUGAAUAAUUACUUCCUCAUCUCCUUCAAGUCUCUGCUGAAAGUGUCACUGAGGGAGAUCUCUCCUAACUGCCUAUUUAAAACUGACUCCCACCCCAUCUCACCCCUCCAGCACCCCCUAAAUCUCUUCCUUGUUUAUGUUUUUUCCAUAGCAGGAUCACCUUCUAAUGUAUUAUACAGUUUACUUUUUAAUUUUACUUCUUGCCUAUUUUUCCACUAUGGAUUUAUCCUUAGUGCCUAGAGUAAGGCCUAUUCAUAGGAGACACUCAAUUAAUUGGUUCAAAGAAUGAGUAGAUGAAUUAAGCUUUGGAAAAUUUGAUCACAAGUAUACACUGAGAGAUUCCUUGAGGAAACGGAAGGAUAAACCUUGAACAGUACAGUAAGUCUGCUUCAUAGAAUGAGUUCUGUUCAGAGAGCAUGUUUGUAAUUCCAGUUUGUUCUUAGGACCAACAAAGUUAGCCUAAGUACCCAACUAGCAUCAUUGGCUGUAUAGUACUGUAUAGUAAUAGGUUCAUAACACUUUUUUAAUACAAAUAAUACAUAAAAAACAAACACACAAAAAAUAAAACAUUUUUAAUCUUACAAUUCAAUACCUUGAAAAGUACAGUAGUAUAGUGCAGCAGCUAGCAUACGGCAGUAAACUGGUGGGAGAUGGUGGAGUUUACGGCAGUAAACUGGUGGGAGAUGGAUGAAGGAUUGUCAGCAACAGGAGCUGGAGGGCAAGCUGCAGUUUCCCUCACGCUUGACAUUGAUGCACAGGUUCUGGUUCCUUGCUUGAUUCAACUCUGUCUGUAAAGAUACGGUACUGUUGUCCUCUAUACAGUUCUGUACGGUAAACUACACAAGAGCCCAACUAACUUGCAGAGAUGCACACGUGUGACAGAGUACACCAGACACAUGAAUUCCCUUAUGUCAUUGGACACUCAAAUGCAUAUUCACAUGUGAUUGGACAUGCAAAAUGCAUACUCACAUCUUUGAAAGGUUGCAACUUGAAGGUUCGUAUGCAGGGGACUUACUGUUUUGUGGUAAGAGACAUUGGUAAGGGAAUGUGGAUUAGAGAAGCGCUUUGCUUGUUGUUGUAACAGUGAGCAGUGCUUGUAAAGUUUAUGAGAUAAAGUAGUUUUUCUGCUUAGUAGUCUAGUCCACAUGGGAAGUGAUGCAUUCUUCUGACUUUUGGUACAGUAGGACCUUUUGGCUAUUGACUGGUAGCCCUGAAGGGCCACACCAUGCCAUCACUUGUGCUCUGUAGAGAUGCUCAUGGUGAGCCCUUUGCUACUGGUGAACCCAGGCUGAGCCUGGCAGAUGGCACACGCCCUGAACUGCAGGUCAUCCUGGUUUCCCUCUUUUCCUUGAAUUCAGAAACUCGUAUAGGUACACUUGACCACAUAUUAUAUCAGAAAUCAUAGGUUACCGUGAUAUUUGUGAGUUUGAACAUUGGCAGAAUAGGAUUGAGAGGAGGAGUUUUAUGAAUGUCUAGGGUCUGCAUGCUCUGGAGGUAUUCUGGCGAGUCUGCUAUUUCUCCAACGAUCUGUUUAAUCCUUGUGAGCCUGGAGAUUUGUGAUUCUUUGUGAAUCACAAAGAUGAGCUUUGUGAUUCCUGGAGAGUUUGGAAGAGAUCAGUCAAAUUAGGUGAAGGGAGGCAGCAUGACAUGUAGUGGCUAAGAGCAUAGACUUGGAGAUCUAGACAACCUGGGUUUGAAUCCUGACUUUGACAAUUAUUAGCUGUGUGACUUUGGGUAAGUUACUUAAUCUCUCUGAGCCUCAGAGUUGAUGAUGAUAAAAAUGAUACAUACUUCACUAGACUGUUGUAAGAAUUAAAUGAUCUAAUAUUUGUAGCAGUUACAACAGUGACUGGCACAUAGUAAGCUUGACCUCAGUGUUUACUCAAUAAAGAUAUUUAUUUGGGAAGCCUGUCACAGGGUCCUUCAACUUUUGGCCAGUAGGUACACCCAGAUAGGAUAAGAGGUGAGUGUAAGUGGUAGAAUCUGAAGUUAUGAGAAGGCAUAUUGAAGUUAAGUAAGAUAAAAAAAGAUUCUUGAAGGUAAUCCCUGAUGGAUAUCCGUUAGUUAAUUGUGAAGGGGUAUAGGAGAGUGCUUAAGAUAAACUUCCUGCCUGGGUCUUCUUGUCACACUUAUUGUGUAAUUUUGGGUAAAUUAUCAGCUUAAAAUUACUAUUCUACAUGGGUAUGUUGAAAGUAUUUACCUUAUGGGGUUGUCGUGAGGACUGAAUCAGACAAGCAUUAUAAAAUGAUGAGCCCAACACUUGGUAUGUAGUACAUGUUUUAUACAUGGUACUUUUGAAAAAUUAAUUGAUAAUCAGAGUCCCUAUCCUCAGUCCCCACAUGGUUAUAGGUAUUGAAGUCUUUUAACUAGAACCUUCAGCCCUGUCCUGUUAUUAAGGCAGCUGGGCACAAUUUUACAGCAUCAUGAAUGAAACAUUACAUGCGUGAUGCUUAACACAGUGUCUGGCAUGUAGCAAGAACUCAGUAAAAUGCCAGGAGCCUCAUCCUUGCUACCUGUUGUGGUGGUUCAAGACGGAAGAUGUGAGUGGGGUGACUGCCCCUUCAGGUGGAGGUGGGAAGGGAAGGCUGUUUCCUUCAGGGUCAGCUCUGGGUGUCAGAGGUGGGAGGUCACGGGCUGUACCUGCUCAGCUGCCCUUCAGCUGACUCCCAGCGCUGUGUCCUAGAACAGACGCCUACUCUGGAGUUCCUGUCCACUUGCCAACCUGGAUCUGACCUGAGGUCACUGUAAAAGCCGCAGUGAAUGUCUGCCAAAUCACAGACUCAGAGGAGAAAUACGAAAUUAACUCUGGUUAUCUGGGCUGGCCCUGUGCUAAUUACUAUAGGUAUUUGCUAUCCAGCGUCUUUAUUGGUUUACCUAAACACAUUACAGAGUUUUAUUUGUUCAGUUGCAGGCCGAGGAACAAAAUUGAGCCUUCUCUUUAUUUUUUUGGGCUCCAAAAUCAGUGCAGAUGAUGACUGCAGCCAUGAAAUUAAAAGACGCUGGCUCCUUGGAAGAAAAGCUAUGACAAACCUAGACAGCAUAUUAUAAAGCAGAGACAUUACUUUGCCGACAAAGGUCCAUCUAGUCAAAGCUAUGAUUAUUCCAAUAGUCAUGUAUGGAUAUGAGAGUUGGACCAUAAAGAAAGCUGAGCGUUGAAGAAUUGAUGCUUUUGAACUGUGGUGUUGGAGAAGACUCUAAAGAGUCCCUUGGACUGUAAGGAGAUCCAAGCUGUCAAUCCUAAAGGAGAUCAGUCCUGAAUAUUCAUUGGAAGGACUGAUGCUGAAGCUGAAGCUCCAGUACUUUGGCUGCUUGAUGCUAAAGCUGAAACUCCAAAACUUUGGCCACCUGAUGCAAAGAACUUGACUCAUUGGAAAAGACCCUGAUACUGGGAAGGAUUGAAGGCAGGAGGAGAAGGGGAUGACAGGAUGAGAUGGUUGGAUGGCAUCACUAACAAGAUGGAUAUGAAUUUGAGCAAGCUCCAGAAGUUGGUGAUGGACAGGGAAGCCUGGCAUGCUGCACUCCAUGGGGUCACAAAUAAUUGGACACCACUGAGUGACUGAACUGAACUAAACUGAUGGCUUCUCAUGCUUCUUCUGGGUUUUUAAAGCAGUUUAAACUGUGAUUUAAGUUUGUUCAUUUAUAUAGUUAUUAAGCAGAUAUUUGCUUUGAACCUAUUCUGUGGCAGAUCUAGAUACUGCUUAACUUUAAUAAAUUAAAAAAAAUA